rnacentral:rRNA from 1 species
GACAGAGGGUGCAAACGUUGUUCGGAUUUACUGGGCGUAAAGCGCGUGUAGGCGGCUUGGCAAGUCGGAUGUGAAAGCCCACGGCUCAACCGUGGAAGCGCAUCCGAAACGGCCUCGCUCGAGUCUCGGAGAGGAAGGUGGAAUGCUUGGUGUAGAGGUGAAAUUCGUAGAUAUCGAGAGGAACACCGGUGGCGAAGGCGGCGAUCUGGACGAUGACUGACGCUGAGACGCGAAAGCGUGGGGAGCAAACAGG